rnacentral:rRNA from 1 species
UACGUGGGAAUCUGCCUCGUAGUGGGGGAUAACGUAGGGAAACUUACGCUAAUACCGCAUACGCUCUACGGAGGAAAGGGGGGGAUCUUCGGACCUCUCGCUAUGAGAUGAGCCCACGUCUGAUUAGCUAGUUGGUGGGGUGAAGGCCCACCAAGGCGACGAUCAGUAGCCGGCCUGAGAGGGUGGACGGCCACACUGGGACUGAGACACGGCCCAGACUCCUACGGGAGGCAGCAGUGGGGAAUAUUGGACAAUGGGCGAAAGCCUGAUCCAGCAAUGCCGCGUGUGUGAAGAAGGCCUGCGGGUUGUAAAGCACUUUAAGUGGGGAAGAACGGGAUUGUGCUAAUACCACGAUCCUUUGACGUUACCCACAGAAUAAGCACCGGCUAACUCCGUGCCAGCAGCCGCGGUAAUACGGAGGGUGCGAGCGUUAAUCGGAAUUACUGGGCGUAAAGCGCGUGUAGGCGGUUUGAUAAGUCGGAUGUGAAAUCCCUGGGCUUAACCUGGGAAUGGCAUUCGAUACUGUCAGGCUAGAGUAGGAUAGGGGAGAGGGCAAUUC